AUGAAAUAUAUAAUUAGGAGUCAUGUUUUGAAAUCUGUUUUGCAGCUGUAAGUCCCGUUGAAAUGAAGGUAAACACAGAGAUGGCGAUCACUCCAAGAAAUCCUUAGGUACAAGUCGCAGUCCUCAGAGGAAGAAGAAGUCUUCGUGAAAGUAAUUUGGCAACUACAGCGGGUAAAAAGCCAAGUGGAACACAGCCAAGUGGUGUAAGGAUCCUUCUGAGCCUCAUCACACAGGCAUAAAGGGGCACUUCUGAGCAGUGCUGUUCCAAGGCCUACAUCUGCCCAGUGACACAAAGGUGACUCAAGCCAGCCUUCUCCCUCAACCUGCAGCUGGACUUCUCUAUUUCCAACACCAAUUAUCUCAGACACCCCGACUGUAUUGGGCAAGACACUCAGAUCCUGUCUUGGGGUAAACCAGCAGCAACAACAGCAACAUGAUGGUGAUGGAUUGUCUUUGCCCUUGGGUUACAUCGUGGACAUUGAUGUUAUCCCAGCUUGACAGGCCUGCCAGUUCUACCACUCGCUGUUGGCAAUGCUCUGUGACCUGAACAAGUAUGACCUCUGCUAGUAUGAGUAGCACACUAUGGAGCUCAACAGACAGCUUCGGGCAAGACCCACACAGCAGGACCCAGAGGAUGUAGAGCAUCUGCCACCGUGACAUUCUCAGUCUUGGCUCUCGUUCCUACCAUGACCAUCACCUGCACAGCUCUCCUUGUCACACCCCAGCCUUGUCCCUCCUGCUUUCCUCCACACCUAAGUUACUGGAGUCUGGUGUAUGUUGUGAGGUGCUUGCUGGGUGUUGGUGAGAUGCUGAGUAGUGGCCAAGUCUCAGGAGAAGAAUGAUGUUGAAGCUGCAAGGAAAUCAAAGCCUGAGAAUGACAUUUUAUUCAUUGGCUGUUUUCUAGUAAAUUUUUAUAUUAAAUUUA